UUGAAAUAAACCUGAACAGGCUGUUGCUGGUCCUCACUGAGGACAUGUGCACGCUUGUUGUUAUUUUUCCAACUGUGCAUAUAUUGUAGACCUGGAAGUCUUUUAUUGUUGGGAUAGAUUGAGGACUGCCAAUGCGGCUUUGCCUUGUAUUUCCAGGUCUAUGUUGUAAUACAAACACAUGAAUGUCAAGUACUGGGGAAUAUGAAAUAAUAAUA
rnacentral:misc_RNA from 1 species